rnacentral:rRNA from 1 species
UACAGAGGUCUCGAGCGUUGUUCGGAUUCAUUGGGCGUAAAGGGUGCGUAGGUGGCUUGGUAAGUCGGAUGUGAAAUCCCGGGCUCAACCCCGGAACUGCAUUCGAUACUGCUUGAGCUUGAGUCCUGGAGAGGAGAUCGGAAUUUACGGUGUAGCAGUGAAAUGCGUAGAUAUCGUAAGGAAGACCGGUGGCGAAGGCGGAUCUCUGGACAGGAACUGACACUGAGGCACGAAGGCCAGGGAGCAAACGGG